UACGUAGGGUGCGAGCGUUAAUCGGAAUUACUGGGCGUAAAGCGUGCGCAGGCGGUUUUGUAAGCCAGGUGUGAAAUCCCCGGGCUCAACCUGGGAAUUGCGAUGGAGACUGCAAGGCUAGAAUCUGGCAGAGGGGGGUAGAAUUCCACGUGUAGCAGUGAAAUGCGUAGAGAUGUGGAGGAACACCGAUGGCGAAGGCAGCCUCCUGGGCCAGCACUGACGCUCAUGCACGAAAGCGUGGGGAGCAAACAGG
rnacentral:rRNA from 1 species